AUUGAACGCUGGCGGCAGGCCUAACACAUGCAAGUCGAGCGAGCGGCGGACGGGUGAGUAAUAUCUGGGGAACUGCCUGAUGGAGGGGGGUAAAUACUGGAGACGGUAGCGAAAAUCCCACACAAUCAGAUGUGACCAGAUGGGAGUAGCUAGUAGGUGGGGUAAUGGCCCACCUAGGCGACGAUCCCUAGCUGGUCUGAGAGGAUGACCAGCCACACUGGAACUGAGACACGGUCCAGACUCCUACGGGAGGCAGCAGUGGGGAAUAUUGCACAAUGGGCGCAAGCCUGAUGCAGCCAUGCCGCGUGUGUGAAGAAGGCCUUCGGGUUGUAAAGUACUUUCAGCGGGGAGGCGUUACCCGCAGAAGAAGCACCGGCUAACUCCGUGCCAGCAGCCGCGGUAAUUC
rnacentral:rRNA from 1 species